CUGGCCUUGACAUCCAGAGAACUUUCCAGAGAUGGAUUGGUGCCUUCGGGAACUCUGAGACAGGUGCUGCAUGGCCGUCGUCAGCUCGUGUCGUGAGAUGUUGGGUUAAGUCCCGUAACGAGCGCAACCCCUAUCCCUGGUUGCUAGCAGGUAAUGCUGAGAACUCCAGGGAGACUGCCGGUGACAAACCGGAGGAAGGUGGGGAUGACGUCAGGUCAUCAUGACCCUUACGGCCAGGGCUACACACGUGCUACAAUGGCGCGUACAGAGGGCUGCCAACUCGCGAGAGUGAGCCAAUCCCUUAAAACGCGUCGUAGUCCGGAUCGGAGUCUGCAACUCGACUCCGUGAAGUCGGAAUCGCUAGUAAUCGCGAAUCAGAAUGUCGCGGUGAAUACGUUCCC
rnacentral:rRNA from 1 species